AUACACGAAACUACCAAUAAAUGUAUUGAGUGCCCGUUCUUUCGUUUGUCCACUCACUCGUAUACAUAUGUGUGUGUGUGUGUGUGCAGUGGACUCUACU